rnacentral:rRNA from 1 species
UACGGAGGGUGCAAGCGUUGUCCGGAUUUAUUGGGUUUAAAGGGUGCGUAGGCGGCUUUAUAAGUCCGUGGUGAAAGCCAACAGCUCGACUGUUGAACUGCCAUGGAUACUGUAAGGCUUGAGUACAGACGAGGUAGGCGGAAUGGAUGGUGUAGCGGUGAAAUGCAUAGAUACCAUCCAGAACACCGAUUGCGUAGGCAGCUUACUACCCGAAUAUUGACACUGAGGCACGAAAGCGUGGGGAUCAAACAGG